GCAGGCUGGCUGUACCCGGUUUGGAGGCAAACCGGAUGUGACGUGUGCCAGUGGCGUACUCCCUGCCCCCAGAUAGGUACUUGUACGCCUAGGGAAAGACGCUGCUAGGUGCUGCUGCUAAAUCCCUGUGGUUUCUGCCAGCCACAUGCGGCCAUUGCCGGCUCACGUAGGUUCGUUCGCGUGGUCUUGUUACGCCUCGCUGGAUCGUGUUCAGUCAUGCCGUCCUUGCGCGGCGUGAUUGUCGGUGAGUCAGGUUAAAUUCUUAAAUAGGUCGCGCCUGCGCCUAAUUGAGUCUAUAAAAGCCUGCACAUUCAGUUUUGCUAGCUACAAUGCAGUGCGGCUGGCGUGAGCUGUCUCCACGAUGCGCUUCGAGCGUGUCGAUUUCGCCGUUCUUAAACACACAUGUUGGCGUUAACGACCUUGAAAGCAACAUGGAUCCACAAGAAAUGUGCGACAACAUCAAGGCCUUGAUUGUUCAACGAGACGGCCCCCGUCGUGCUGGUUUUCAAGGUGCUCCCUCGCUGCCUACAAGAUGCUGAUGCGGAAUAGAAAAUGCAAAAACGUCGCUUGCUCAACCGCAAAUUGACGGCUACGCUGAAGCGCAUGCCGUGUCUGCGGAAUUUGAACCCCGAGCUUUCCAGAGUUCCUUGGAAAAUCCUCCCAUGCACCUGCCAUGUACAUUGCCCUCCUCCUUGAUGUGGCGUGCAAGAUGGCAGCAGCAGCUGUGGGAACAGUUGAAGAGGCGAAGAAAGGUCCACUUUAUAAUAGGUUGUAUGUAAAUAAAGCUGAUCAACCUCAA